rnacentral:rRNA from 1 species
CCCUUAGAUGUUCUGGGCCGCACGCGUGCUACACUGAGUGGAUCAGCGGGUCAGGUUGCGCGAAAGCGUUUCCUAAUCUUGAAAUCCACUCGUGAUGGGGAUUGACGGUUGCAAUUUUCUGUCAUGAACGAGGAAUACCUUGUAAGCGCGAGUCAUCAUCCCGCGCUGAAUACGUCCCUGCCCUUUGUACACACCGCCCGUCGCUCCUACCGAUUGAGUGGUCCGGUGAGGCUUUGGGAUCUGAGCGGAAAGAGCGUUUCGCUCGUUCUGCCCGGAAAACUCAGUCGAACCUUAUCAUUUAGAGGAAGGAGAAGUCGUAACA